rnacentral:lncRNA from 1 species
CUUCCCGGUUGCCUGGCGAUAGGAAGCGGACAGACAGAUAGGAACUGUCUGCUCUUGUGGGAGAUGGCUGCAGAGCGCCGUGACCGGUGCCAGCCCGGAAGCCGAACCGCCCUACCGAGCCCUGAGGGCGACCACAGAAACCCGUCCAGACACACUGAACACAGCAAAGCAGGCGCCUUCCCACACACACCUCCCCGGGUCCUCUGCGACCUUUGGUCUCUUGAGUUUUCAAAACUCUGGAAACCUCUACAGCAGUUAGAAAUCAGGAAUGUUUCUGUAAAAGCAGAGCACUCUACUCGUGCGGUAGCGCCUGUCAUCCGGCCAAGGAGGAAGCAAGAGGAGCAGCUGCACCAGUAGAAUUAAACGUGUAGAAUUAAGCGUGUCCCCCUAGUGCUCUGCACAGGAAGAAAGUCCUCCACCUGACCGCAGGCAGCAGGCCGGCCUCCUACAGGAAAAGCAAAGCCCACUGGUGAUGCCCAAUGUCUCUGCAGCACCAUAGGAGGAGGCCCGAGGCUGCCGUGUCACCUGAGAGAGAGUGUGGGGUCAGCCAGGCCUACAUCUGAGACCAUGUCUAGAGACAAGGGAGGAGCUCCCUCCAAGCCUUGGACUCCAGCUGGUGACACUACUUUAGAAACCUUAAGAGGGAAGCCUAAUCAAAGUCUGCCAUAGGAUAAACAGCCUAGUACUCCCAACACCAUGGCAUUAUACCUUUCCAUGAGCCAGUCAACAGACCAAACACUAUGGACUGAAAUUUCUAAAAGUGCAAGCAAAAAUAAACAGUUUCUUCUUUUAAGUUGUUUCUACCACUCAUUCUGUCAAAGCAGUAGAAAACACUUUACAAAAGGGCCAGGUAACAGGGAUGUAGUUUAUAGACUAGAUGGUCUCCAUGGCAGGUGCUCAGCUCUGCCACUGCACUGUGAAAGCAGGUACAAUGUACUAAGAAGUCAGUGGGCUGGCUCCCAAUAAAAUCUAUUUACAAACACAGUCAGCCCCCCAUUGAGGCUCUUGUUUGCCAACAUCCAGAGUGGCAGAUGUUGUAAUAGAGUGAGGAUGCCUC